GCCCCAUAUCUGUGCGUGUAUUUCAGCUGCCUCACUGAAUCGGCUUCGAUCUCCUCUCCCCACUGAAGCCAACUUAGCUUUGGGGGACUUAAAGGUGAAACAGAGGAGCGUCUGCAGCAAUGAACAUUUAUAUUCCCCACCCCCCAAACUGAACUUCAUUUUGUGAGGUUUAGAAGUCCUUGGGCGUAUAAUUAAGAAAUCAUGAAAAAGACAAAGAAGCUUUGGAACGACAAGUUCAGAAUCACCUCUGGGUUCUCCCGUGUGAAGGGAAUUUGCAGAUUCUUGAGCCGUCAGCGAGCUCACAGCAUCCUAGGGACUGGUGCUGUAAAUCAAAGGACUGGCAUUAUCUAGUUUCCUUUCUGGCUUUAAAAGCUAGAACAGAUGUCACAAGAGAGGACAAAAUGGAUUUUACCCACCAAGAGGGGCUUUUCUUGCCCUCUGUGAUAGGAAGUGCCUUGAAAUGCUAAUGUACACAGCCUGUGUUGCUGGGGUUUGCAUAGAGACGGUGGGAAACAGCUCUGAUCCCAACAAAACCUUUUGUUAUUAAUCAAGAAAAUCUGGUCCUCUGAAGCAGCAAAGAGCUGGAAAUUAGCGAGGCCACUGGCAAUGAGUCCAGGGAGCAAAUACGCAGAAGAUUCCAGCGCCCCAGUAAGAAGUGGUAUUUGGGGCCAUGCUGCAUUUCCAGGCGUCCGCCUUCCCCCAAAUUCUCUGUUCUCCCGGAGCCUCCACAUUUGAAGGGGGAGGGAUAUUGCUCUUGGAAUUUGUGCUUUAAAGUCGUGUGUUUUCUUUUUCAGCAAUUUCAAGAAGCAGGCUGGAAGAGCAUCCGUUACAAGCACGCUAAUGAAGUGGUGCUAAGAAAAGAAACGAAACACCACCAAAUCAAAGUGGAGCAUUUUGCUGGGCUAAUGGGCUUGAUUAUGAGAUUUUACAGGCCCUUUUAUAAACUUGAAAUUUUAUUUUGUGCUGGGGAACAGGAAAUUUCUGUUUGGUUUUAAACAUACAUGAUCAUACCACCAAAUAGUCCUAAUUUAAGGCUGUGAGCGCAGAGCAAAAUUUUAUGUCUAAGAGGGGAAGGGCUGGAAACAGCUCCCCCGAUGGCAGUUAAUAGGCACACACUUUAAGCCUCAUUUUACAGAAGUGGAAACUGAGGCUGCAGUGGCCCUGGUGACCGACCUCCCUUCCUCUGCCCCCACCCCCUGUGUGUGAUGUUCCCUUUGGGGGUAGGUGUGCUCAUCUGGCCUCAACUCCUCAAUGAGAAUAGGUCAUUCUUUGUUGCAAGGGGCUGGCUGCUGCCUUGCAGGGUAUUCAGCGACCUCCCUGGCCUCCACCCGCUAGAUCCUAAUCGCACCCUUCUCCCACCGUGACCACCAACAAUCUCUCGAGGCAUCACUGAAAUCGCCCCUGGUUGGGAACCACUGAACUAGAUCAAUCGCCUGCCUUAGGGGGAUGGAAACCACACUUGGAGCAUUCUCCCUGCCCAGCGUCCGGCCUGGCAUGGGGCACAGAGCCUCGGGGUGAACACAUGCCUGUGCAGAGAUGUUACUGAGAGCUCGGUCAAGGGCCGACAAGCCAAUUCCAAACGGCAGACGGGUGCACCCUUUCCGUUUCCUUCCCCGAGAGACCAGUGGUUUUGCCUUUCCCCUUGUCUCCCAGCAAGUCAGCUGGAGGCAGGAGCGCUGGAGAAGGGAGCGAGAAGCCCAGACAAUCCGCACCCUGGAGGCUCAACGCAGCGUUGAGAGCUUUAUUCUCAGGUCUACAUGGCCCCGCGGGCAGAAGGUGUCCUCAUGGAGUAGAAACGGAGCUGUCACUGGGUGCUCCGUUUAAUCUCUGGCAAGAUUUUUAAGUGAGGCCUUGUUACUCUUUAAAUGAUGCUCUGUUAUCCUUGUAGGGACACCUUGCUUUUUGGAAUACGAGUUAUUGAAAAGUUGCCUGGUAUAAGACGAUGAGCACUCACCUCUGAAAUACGUAUUGCCCACACAUGGCGUGCAUUUUUCUACUAAAGGCAAACCUAGAGAAAAUCUGUUACGAAGAAUUUAAGUGUACCAUCAUUAAUUAUGUCAUCAUCUUCUUCCCUAUCUUGGGUUUACUGAAGCUCUGGGCCACACAGCUCUAGAGAAAACACCGGGCGUUCCCGUGGCCUCUUGGAGGUACCAUGGAAGUACUGCGGUCACGUGACACCUGGUUUACUCGCCAAAGCUCCAUGAGAGAGUUGAGGUGCCACCGCUGGGAAACUCUUCCUCUAAAUCUGCUCCAGACUCACGCAUGGACAGAAAGAAAGACGGAAGGAGAGGCAGCAGCCGGGAGGGCCUGAAGUUACACCUGCAAGAAUGUCUUGUGGGUCCUGACAGAAGAGGGUUAAGAAAUCUGUGCCAGGAAGUGGCCAGUUUCCACCACUCCAUCUCAUCACGUCUUCACAACCUCCCCGAGGGAGUGGGUGUUAUCCUAAAGAUAAGAAAACCUAGGCUCAGGCAGAUGCACGACCAGUGUGGGGGCAGAGCUGUGACCUCCAAAAAGGUGUGUUCAAACCCUGACCCCCGGUACCUGUGAGUGGGCUUUAUUUAGACAUAGGGGUUUUGCAGAUGUAAUCAAAUUCAGAUGAGGUCAUAUGGGUGGGCUUCAUCCAAUGACUGAGGUCCUUAUAAGAAGAGGGACAUUUGGACCCCUUUAGGGAGAGGACACACGGAGAACCCCAUGUGAUGAUGAGGCAGAAUUGGAGGGAGGCCCCUGCAAGCCAAGAACCAUCAAGGAUUGCUGGCAACACCGGAAGCUAAGGUGAGGCGAGGAAGCGUCCUGCCCUGGAGACUUCAGAGGGAGCGUGGCCCGGCCGACACCUUAAUUUUGGACUUCUAGCUUCUGGAGCUGAGAGAGAAUAACUCUGUGUUGUUUAAAGCUACCUGAUUUGUAGUCAUUGUCCAGGCAGCCACAGGAAGGAACACACCGAGCCCUCACCUGCUUCCCUUGUGCACUUGAAGGAUUCUGGGUUAGGGGCAUGCUGCCUGCGGCCAGCUUGGCGAAGGAGACCAAGGAUGGAACUAAGACGGCUUGAAGGAAAGAGGAGUGGGACCUCCCCGAGGGGAGAUGGGAGGAGGGGGCAUCGCAGACUGACGGCAGAAAUGGGGAAUUUCCUUAAGACAUAAGAGUGCUUGAGAGUGGAGGAGAGACGGGGAAGGAAGGAAAGGUGAAGAUGGCCCGGGGGUGUGACAGGAGGCUGCCGUCUGGAGAAGGGUGAGGGCAUCUGUGAUGAACAGACUGACUCUGGGUGAGGGCGGUCAGAGCUGGAAGAGAAGGAACAGAGAGGCGGCUGAGCAGCCCCAGGAGGCCGAGGGAUGUGAGGCUGGAACGGGAGAUGCUGGCAGGUAAAGCCGAAAUGAUCUUCGAUGACAAAUCACCCUGGAAAGGCAUUAAAUAUGGUGUUGGCCAGUGACUCAGAGCCCAAGCACGCUGGUCCUCUUGUCAUGUGGGCGGCCAGGCUGUGUCGCACGAGAUGAGUUUAGUAUCUUGUGAAUGCGCGUGGGAGGUGGGCCGCAUGGGGGAAAGAGUUAAUCAGUAAACCGUUGGCUCCGGGACAAUGAGCCGGGCUGGCCCGGGGUCCUCGGGGCUGACCCCGGUCCUCACCCGCCCCACUGGUAUGUGGCCCCCACGGGAAGACCAGAGGAAGCUCAGACCGCGGGCCCCGAACAACAAGGCGUUUGAGUUUCGGGAAAUGCCAGGACAGGAAAUUAGUGAGGCUGAUUAGAAAAAUCAAUUUGGCUUGACUUGAAUUUGGUGUGAGGAGGAGGAAGGGAAGGGGAGCUCACCUCUGAUGAGGGCUGAGGGGCAUCCUGGACGCCCCUCUUUUCCACUGGGGAAACCGAGGCUCAGGGGAGUUAAAUAGUCAGCAGAAGGCUCUGCAGCUGGAAAGAGUGGUCGAGCCAGAAGUGAGGG